rnacentral:lncRNA from 10 species
CACGCAGUCCUAUCCCUACGGUCCUGGAAUUGGGGGUUACUAUCUUGGAAUCUAGGGGCACUCCAGGCUCUGGGCUCAGACGGCUGGCUUCUGCCUACCCGAGCCUUAACCUUUCAAGGACCAGAAGGAUUCCAGAGCUCUUGCCCUAGGUCCUGGGGCAGCGAUGACUCACUGCAGCACCCCCUCCCACUUCGCCAAGCUGCCGUCUCCGCCCACCCCCAAACAAUCUCGACAGCGCAUUUCGGGAGCCACGGCUCCGGGCGCUUUGCUGGGGGCUAAAGGGGUUUAUCCCUUUCCUUGAAUCCCAGCAGGCUAGAACUACCCCCUCCCAGUCUUCAGGCUUGCCACGCUCUCCACCCGAUCCUUCCAUUGAAAGGCAGAGAAGGAAGGAUGUGCUUGGGAACUUUAAGACCCACGAACGACAGCGCACUGAUGGAGCAGCCCAGUGUCUGGGGCAAAGUCCUCGAGGUUCAUUCAUUCAGGAAGCCUCUGACCAGCCUUUACCAUGCGCUGAGUGAGAAGCUGAGGAUAAGGAAAGAGCAAGACCCCCAAGAAACCCUGAUGUCUGGCUGAAAGCCGAAGCAUGACGCAACUUUGCUAUAUUUCUCUCCAACAAGGAUUUGUAUAUUUUCGCUUUCUCCUCAAGUAACACCUGGACCUGCUCCUUUCCCUUCAAACGCUGAGGGCUCAGUCUCCAAGUUCCUUUAUGAAACAGGGUGUACCAUCAGAGACGCAGGUAUUUAUUGAAACCUGCUUUGUGCUGGGCAAUGUGCCAGAUGUUGGGGAUAAAAUGUUGGAUCUUUUUCAUCUACUUCAAUCAAAACCACGUAUCACAACAG